GGACCCGCACAAGUAGUGGAGCAUGUGGUUUAAUUCGAAGAUACGCGCAGAACCUUACCAACACUUGACAUGUUCGUCGCGACUUUAAGAGAUUAAAGUUUUCGGUUCGGCCGGACGAAACACAGGUGCUGCAUGGCUGUCGUCAGCUCGUGUCGUGAGAUGUUGGGUUAAGUCCCGCAACGAGCGCAACCCUCACUUUUAGUUGCCAUCAUUUAGUUGGGCACUCUGAAAGAACUGCCAGUGAUAAGCUGGAGGAAGGUGGGGAUGACGUCAAGUCCUCAUGGCCCUUACGUGUUGGGCUACACACGUGCUACAAUGGCAUUUACAAUAGGAAGCAAGAUGGCGACGUCAAAGCAAAUCCUAAAAAGAUGCCUCAGUUCGGAUUGUACUCUGCAACUCGAGUACAUGAAGCUGGAAUUACUAGUAAUCGCGGAUC
rnacentral:rRNA from 1 species